GCGUGAGAAUCUAGCUUCAGGUCGGGGAUAACUACUGGAAACGGUGGCUAAUACCGGAUGUGCCGAAAGGUGAAAGGCUUGCUGCCUGAAGAUGAGCUCGCGUCUGAUUAGCUAGUUGGUGUGGUAAGAGCGCACCAAGGCGUCGAUCAGUAGCUGGUCUGAGAGGAUGAUCAGCCACACUGGGACUGAGACACGGCCCAGACUCCUACGGGAGGCAGCAGUGGGGAAUUUUCCGCAAUGGGCGAAAGCCUGACGGAGCAAUACCGCGUGAGGGAGGAAGGCUCUUGGGUUGUAAACCUCUUUUCUCAGGGAAUAAGAAAGUGAAGGUACCUGAGGAAUAAGCAUCGGCUAACUCCGUGCCAGCAGCCGCGGUAAUACGGAGGAUGCAAGCGUUAUCCGGAAUGAUUGGGCGUAAAGCGUCCGCAGGUGGCGAUGUAAGUCUGCUGUUAAAGAGCAAAGCUUAACUUUGUAAAAGCAGUGGAAACUACAUAGCUAGAGUACGUUCGGGGCAGAGGGAAUUCCUGGUGUAGCGGUGAAAUGCGUAGAGAUCAGGAAGAACACCGGUGGCGAAGGCGCUCUGCUAGGCCGUAACUGACACUGAGGGACGAAAGCUAGGGGAGCG
rnacentral:rRNA from 1 species